CACUCCUACGGGAGGCAGCAGUGGGGAAUUUUGGACAAUGGGCGAAAGCCUGAUCCAGCAAUGCCGCGUGUGUGAAGAAGGCCUUCGGGUUGUAAAGCACUUUUGUCCGGAAAGAAAUCCUUGGCUCUAAUACAGUCGGGGGAUGACGGUACCGGAAGAAUAAGCACCGGCUAACUACGUGCCAGCAGCCGCGGUAAUACGUAGGGUGCGAGCGUUAAUCGGAAUUACUGGGCGUAAAGCGUGCGCAGGCGGUUUGCUAAGACCGAUGUGAAAUCCCCGGGCUCAACCUGGGAACUGCAUUGGUGACUGGCAGGCUAGAGUAUGGCAGAGGGGGGUAGAAUUCCACGUGUAGCAGUGAAAUGCGUAGAGAUGUGGAGGAAUACCGAUGGCGAAGGCAGCCCCCUGGGCCAAUACUGACGCUCAUGCACGAAAGCGUGGGGAGCAAACAGGAUUAGAAACCCGGGUAGUCCCAUG
rnacentral:rRNA from 1 species